CUUCUAACGUCUUGGUGCCAGACACCACAUCACACUUUCAGAGUCUUCUGGAGUCCAUGCCUUGACGGGUCAGAGCUGUUUCGGUGGCACAAGCAGGACCUACACAAUAUUAGGCAGGUGGUUUUAAUGUUAUGGCUGAUUGGUGUAUAUGACAGAGCUUAUUGUCUGUGCAAUGCCUUUAUUGCACAUAACCGCACUCAACAUUCAUCCCCUAGUUUAAAACUAAUGACUUCUAUAUGAAAUUUUAUCUGUAACCAUUUCUAGUAGCAUCAUAUCUGUGAUAAUAUGGACUACAUUUAUAAGAAUUAUGUUUACAUAAUAUGUCUUCAAAGACAAUAAACUGAGACUCUGUUAGCUAGCUAAUAUUACAUAACUAACUAAACUUCUGGUCAUAUUGCCUUAAUAUUGACAGUGUAGGGUCCUUCUUAAGGGCUUGAUAGUGGGUCAGUACCAGUCCUGAAUUUGAACUUACAACCUUCUGAUCACUGGGAGCUGUGAGGACUUUAAACACCCCCCUCCCUAUUUUUUUUUUUAAUAAGAGCAUCAGUGUGCUGUAUAUUCAAAAAGCACUUGUCCUACCAUCAUUAUGAACCCUGUGGUGCACUUUACAUUGUAAAUAUUUACAACAUUAAAACCUAAUACUGAAAAAAAAAAAUCGUCUACACCAAGUGCUUGACAUGCAGCUAGUGUGUACUUCAAAAUACUGCAGCGACACACAGCCACUGUUAAGUCUGGUUUAAAUAAGUGUGACAGGACAAACAGCACUUCCUAACAGGCCUUACGAAUUAGCAUAGGCACACGGCCACAAUCUUUUUAUGUCCUGGUUACAGCAGGGACUCCAGCUGGCAUUGAAAACAGGAUUGGAGAAAGAAACUGCUGCGUCUGGAAAGUGCAUCUGUUCCAUGGGCAUUUCUCUCAAAGCUUCACGGGUACUAAAGCCUCUCGCAGCCCUAAGCAACGUUCUGUCAAAUACAUCCGCUAGCAUCAUAUAAAUCUAUUUUCCUGUACAGAGCAUUUCCACAUCCCUCCUUCAUCACAGUCUGCUGCGAGUAAACCACAUACUGUAGCACAAUCGUCAGCUUGUUAGUUAGCUAGCUAAACUGCAGAAUAGGAUACUGAAUAUGUACGAUGAUCACUAACUCUUUAGUAUAUUGUGAGGUUUACUAGACAACAGUCUAAACUUAUCUAGCUAGCCAAUUCCUAUCUAUUUAGCUAGCAGGUCAUCAACCCAGAAUACUGUCGCAUCUUAAAUUCUUCAAUUUAUGCCACUGGGAAUCGAACAAAUUCCACACAGCCAGUUUAUUCGACUUUAGUUUGCACUCAGCCAAAAAUAAAGUGAGAGAAGGAGAUAUUAUUGUUAUCUAACAAAUACAUCAGCACUCUGGCAUAAAGUUCAUUUGCCACAAAAAUUUGACUUACAAUGAACCAAUAUCGCCAAUGCUAGAGGCAGCGUACAGGCUUAUCUAACAUUAACUAACUAUGACAGAUCAUAUCAGUGAGCAUGCCUUUGAAUCCAUACUGUAUAAUGUAUUUUGAUAUUGUAGUGUAGAUUUGUUUGCACUCAAAGUUUGUUUGUUUUUUUAAUAUUGGUCACGUUAUCCAAUAUUAGUCACGCCAACCAUCAGCAGUGAAGGUUAUGGACAUUUAUACAGAUAUUAUUUUAAAAUCCUGUCAGGUUAGCUGAUGUUAGAUAUAUACGUAACUAUUGUUAGCAGUGAAGAUCAUGAACAUUUAUGAAUAGGACUUAAAUAUCCUGUCGGAAAUCCUGAAAUAUUAGCUUGCUAGCUAGCAAGCUAGCAGGCUAGCGCUAGAAGUGAAGAUCCUUACAAAUCUUAAAAAUCCUGUCAGGUUAGCUCAUAUUAGUCAUAUAGCUGUUGUCAGUUCUUGUUAGUUAUAUAGCUAUUGUUAGUAGCUAGGUAACAUGAAUAUGUCUGAACAGCUAAGUAGGUUCUGCUAAUGUCCGAUGAGUACCAAGUAAUUUGGAGAGCUGAUGUUGGAUGGAUAAAAUAUUAGCUUUGAUUUGUCCAGACCAACAACUCAUGGUCAAGAACAUGCAGACUGAAUAAAUGUGCAGAAGUUCCAUUGUUUCACAAUAACAGGAAGUGGACUCUUAAUGUUAUGGAAUCAAACAGUGCUGCAUGUUGACUAGCAAGUUAAUGUUAGCGUUCCCACUCCAUUUUGGUAGCUAACAGCAACUAGCAAGCAGAUUAAGUGUUUUCAUGUUUCAGGAACAAUCCAUGUAACUUUUAUGAAGAUUUCUACCGUGGUUAUGAGAGACGACACGUAGCUGUAUUGUUGUUGUCUCACUAUCAAGUCACUUUUUCUUUACUCUGCACCUGAUGGCACUGCUGAGAUGCUAGCUCUAACACUAGCUCUGUACAGAUAAUGGGGGGGAAAACUACAAUGACACCGUCACACACAGACUUCACAGUUUUGAUUCAUGAGAAGUCGAUCAGUCACGCUUUAGAAAUUUAUCAGGCCUUUUACACACUUUUCUAACUAAUAAAUAACAAUUCAUGACUUCAUUAUGGGCAAAUUUGCAUUAUAUCAAAUAAAGGAAGGAAUGCCACUGGGCUAAGUAUAAUUUUCUAGAAUUCGCUCAUGCUGAUUUUGCCAG
ensembl:lncRNA